rnacentral:rRNA from 1 species
AAGGGUGCGUAGGCGGUUUUAUUAAGUCAGUGGUGAAAGACGGUCGCUCAACGAUUGCAGUGCCAUUGAUACUGGUAGACUUGAGUGGGAUUGAGGUAGCUGGAAUGGAUAGUGUAGCGGUGAAAUGCAUAGAUAUUAUCCAGAACACCAAUUGCGUAGGCAAGUUACUAAGUCUCAACUGACGCUGAGGCACGAAAGUGUGGGUAUCAAACAGGAUUAGAUAUCCCUGU